rnacentral:pre_miRNA from 1 species
AAAGUACUCCCUCCGUCCCAAAAAUCUUGUCUUAGAUUUGUAUAGAUACGGAUGUAUCAAGUCACAUUUUAGUAUUAGAUACAUCCGUAUCUAGACAAAUCUAAGACAGGAAAUUUGGGACAAAGGGAGUAGUUG